AACGUAGGAGACAAACGUUAUCCGGAGUUACUGGGCGUAAAGAGCGCGUAGGUGGCUAGAUAAGUCCGGUGUGAAAUCCUUCGGCUUAACCGGGGGAAUGGCAUCGGGGACUGUAUAGCUAGAGGACGGAAGAGGAGAGCGGAAUUCCCGGUGUAGUGGUGAAAAUGCGUAGAUAUCGGGAGGAACACCAGUGGCGAAGGCGACUACCUGGCCCAUUCUUGACGCUGAGGCGCGAAAAGCUAAGGGGGAGCGAACGGGG
rnacentral:rRNA from 1 species